CUGCAGCGCAGAUUAUUUCCAAUCUACAUUUCCCUUUUGCCAUCUAUUGUUAACAGUUCAAACUCAUUUCCUGUUUGUCUUCCUCCUGUGAGCUUCUUUAUUAUUGUUGCAUCUAAGAUCUGUAGAGGAGACCUUGGUUUAAAGAAAGCGCCUAAGAUACCACUCUUUCUGCGAUCCAUUCCCUUCGGCCUGUAGAGGAGACCAGGUUUAAUGCUUCAUUAAAGUUGUUUCUACUCUAGAGGAGACAGGUGCUGCAGAAAUGAAGACUCAAAUACUGGACCAUCUUGAAAAUCAGUGUCUUUGGAGUGGAAGAGAUAUUGUGUUGAGAGGCAAGAAGCUCACUUGACAUAGGAUGAAGAUAAAUGUUCAACAGAAGUCACACCUAAAUGAGAUAUAAGAAGGUAUCAAAGAGGCAAAGCCUCCUUUCAAGGAUGCUGAAAAUAGUUUUCUGCUUCCAUUUUCAUCCUUUACAGAGGAAGGGGGAAAAACAUUGAUUUUGAUAUAAUUAUCUUGGAAGUGAUGGUAAAAUACAGAAGAAAAUAAUUGCAGAAUUAGCAUGGAUCUAAUUAGAUAGAAAUUAUUCUCCUGAAGAGCCCAUUAUUGGACUUCUGCUCCUACACUGCUUACAGUUACCCACAUCAUGUUCUAAUGGAUAAAUUAUAACUAAAAGCAAGAAUGCAUUAUGAAUUUUCAGCACCCUCUUUAGUGCCAGCGUAAAUUUUCCUUCUGCUGCAGAGUUAAUGAAACCUCUUGAGUCUCAGGGCAAAACCAAUUUGAACUCUGGCUUUUUGUUAAUAGCAGGCUACAAGGGGAGCUGCUGCUUUUGAGGAGCAAAAUGCUAACUGUCAAUGCUUGGGCCUAAAACUAUGGCAGCAUGUGGGAGCAGCAUCAUGUAUUAGGGUGGAUGAAUAAUUAUAAUUUCAGCUGCUUCUUGUAUCGUGCCCAUAACUAUUUUUCGCUGAUAGAGACAGCAACAUGCACCAAAGCUUCCUAGAAGAGCCAAGGGAUAUGGACUUGUCACACAGAUUUCAAUAUAGUUUCAUAGAAAUAACUAUUAGUGUUAUACCAUACGUUGCAGUGGUGCCAUAGGUUAAACUCUUGUGCUGCUGAACUGCUGAGCUGAAGGUUGGCAGUUUGAAUCCACGGGACAGGGCGAGCUCCCACUGUUAGCCCUAGCUCCUGCCAACCUAGCAGUUCAAAAACAUACAAAUGUGAGUAGAUAAAUAGGUACCUUAAGAAAUGGGGCUACAAAGCAGACUCCACGACAUGCGAGUGCAGAGAAGAGCAAACCACAGACCACCUAUUACAAUGCAGUCUGAGCCCUGCCACAUGCACUAUGGAGGACCUUCUUACAGCAACACUAGAGGCACUCCAAGUGGUCAAAGGACAUCUAAUCUAAUCUAAUCUAAGCUAUCUAAAUCUAAUCUAAAUCUAUCUAUCUAUCUAUCUAUCUAUCUAUCUAUCUAUAUAAUAAAAGUCAGUGUUUGUAUGCGGGUAUGUAUGCUUGUAUGUGGGUAUGUGCCAGCUUUCUGAUUGGCCGCCACUAUCACAGGCCAUUGUGACCACCAGGAACGAUGGACCUCGCCCAAACUUGAUACGCUUAACCUCCAUGACCCCCUUUACACCCUGAUGCAUUUUGGGGGAGGAUGUACCAUGGAUGAUGGGAUUUGCAGUACCUUCACUCACUUCCUGAGACUACUGCGACUACCAGGAAUGACAGAAUUGGACCAAACUUGGCACACAGACAGCCUCUGGCCUCCACAAGCAGGCUAUAGUUCCCAGUGCUGAGAACCCAGCAGUCAUCUUUUCCACUGACAUUGCGCUUGCAGAGAGCUCCAUGAACAUGCAGCCCAACCCCUGCCAAUAUCCUUCCCAAACACUAUAGCCCAUCACCCAAGGAAUGCUUUCAUGUGGGGACAAUUUCAUCCUAGAUUUUGCUUUUUCUUCCACCAUAGGCAGGCAUCCCAGGGUUUUCCAUUGCUGGGAAAUUGGCAUGGCCCCUCCUACUGCCCUUCCCUUUUCAAUCUCUCUGCACAACAAACAGAACAAAACUGAGCUGCAACUAAACUUACUGGAGGAGUUUGGGGAUUGACUACACAUGAUGGAAAUUGUAGUUCACCCUGCAUCAAGUCAUACCACUGUGACUCCUACGGGGGCAUUUAGAGGAGUUAUAGUUCACCAACACCCGGAACGCUAUGAACCCAAACAAGGAUGGGUCUGGACCAACCUUGCCAUCCAUACCUGAUAUGCCCAGAUUUGAAUACUGGUGGGUUUGGAGGGGAAUUGGUCUGGACAUUUGGGAGGAGUAGAUACUGGGAUUUAUAGUUCACCUGCAAUGAAUGAGCCCUUCGAACCCAUCGAUGAUGGACCAGGACCACACUUGGCACACAGAGCCCCCAUAACCAAUACAACAUAUUGAACAAGUUUGGGGGAAAUCGAGUUAUAGUUAACCUGCAUCCAGAGAAACAGUCAUCCCCACCGACAAUGGGCCAGGACCACACUUCACACAGAGAAGCCUUAUGACCGACACUAUUAUUAUGUUAGUCUGUUUUAGUAUGUUUUAAAAGGAAAGAGGGAAGGAAUCUAGUGGCAAUACUAAGGACUUUAUCAUACUAUUAUUAGAAUGAUCUUUUUCACAUCUCAGCACAAUUUCACAAUGCUCGCCUUUUGUUUUGAAAAUUCCCCCAAUCAAUCCUUUUUACAGCUGUGCUUCUUAACUACACUUGCCAUUCCUAGUCCAUGGGCACUAUAUUUUUUCCUUGCCUAUUUUUAUUUCCACCCUAUUUUUCUGCAAUUGUCCAGUUUCAACAUUCCCACAAGAACAUCUUCCACUUCACAAUACCAGGACUGCAGCAGAAGGAAGUUCUCACGCAAGGACGAGUGGCAGAACAACAUUCAAGGAGAAAACCAGGGAUAUCAGUUUAACAACUGAGAAACCUACAUUGCCUUGCGUGAAUACUAGUGGAGAUAUACCACUAAGGAGAAGAUUGACUCAAUGCAAUAUAAAGAACUGAGGGGAAAAAUGACCAACCAAUAAUAGAUGGGACUGUUUUUUCAAAGGUCUUCCAUCUUUAGGCCCUAGCUAUGAACAUCUUCUCAAACAAACAAAUCUGGGCAAGGUCUGGCAUGCUGUAUAAUGAAAACCAUGAUGAGAGAAGAGAGGGAAAUUUGUCAACUAAUUAUUCAUGGAAGAAAGAUGUCAUGAACAAACUGACUAAUACAGCAAAAUUGCUAUAUCCUGAAAUUGAGAUCUGAUGAUAUGUUACUAUUAGAAUCAUAACUACGUUCCCAUCUCACUUCCUGAAUCUUCAUCUGAAUCCCACCAUAUCCAUUAUGUGGCCAGAGGACCAUGAAAGAAGGCUAUUCAGCCGUUCAUUGUGCUUGAGCAGCCAGCCCCCAAAACAUGAUGCCACCCUCUUUGUGAAUGCUUUGUUUUCCUGCUGAAGCAUAGGGGAGUCAAGUAGGGUGAAGUGCUCCAGUAUGGAGGGUGGAGCUUUAUCAUCUGCACUGAUUGUAAAAAUACACACACAUAUAUAUACAACCGCCCUGAGUCCCCAUUGGGAAGAUAGGGCAGAAUACAAAUAAAGCUUAUUGUUGUUAUUAUUAGUAACAUGA